AGAGACUUAGGAUAACCUUUAGACCAAAAGCCUUCAAAGCUUUAAGUAGGAGUGAGAGUCUCCUAGCCUCUG
rnacentral:tRNA from 1 species